rnacentral:rRNA from 1 species
AGAGUUUGAUCAUGGCUCAGAACGAACGUUGGCGGCGUGCUUAACACAUGCAAGUCGAACGAGAAAGUUUCCUUCGGGAAGCGAGUAAAGUGGCGCACGGGUGAGUAACGCGUAGAUAACCUGUCCAGAUGUCCGGGAUAGCCUAUCGAAAGGCGGAUUAAUACCGGGUAUCUUGUUUUAACCUAAGUUGAACCAAGAAAGGUGGCCUCUAUUUAUAAGCUAUCGCAUUUGGAGGGGUCUGCGUACCAUUAGUUUGUUGGUGGGGUAACGGCCUACCAAGACUACGAUGGUUAGCGGGUCUGAGAGGAUGAUCCGUCACACUGGCACUGAAACACGGGCCAGACUCCUACGGGAGGCAGCAGUGAGGAAUAUUGCGCAAUGGGGGAAACCCUGACGCAGCGACGCCGCGUGAGUGAGGAAGGCCUUCGGGUCGUAAAGCUCUGUCAGAAGGGAAGAAAUGGUUAUAGGUUAAUACCCUGUAUUCUUGACGGUACCUUCAAAGGAAGCACCGGCUAACUCCGUGCCAGCAGCCGCGGUAAUACGGAGGGUGCAAACGUUGUUCGGAAUCACUGGGCGUAAAGGGCAC